rnacentral:rRNA from 1 species
AGAAAUACAACUUUCAACAACGGAUCUCUUGGCUCUCGCAUCGAUGAAGAACGCAGCGAAAUGCGAUAAGUAAUGUGAAUUGCAGAAUUCAGUGAAUCAUCGAAUCUUUGAACGCACCUUGCGCCCCUUGGUAUUCCGAGGGGCAUGC